rnacentral:tRNA from 1 species
GGGCCCGUGAUCUAGCCUGGAUAAGAUACCUGGCUUCGGCCUUCGCUGCGAGGGAAGAAACCAGGAAAUCGGGGGUUCGAAUCCCUCCGGGCCCGCCA